rnacentral:tRNA from 1 species
GCGGGAGUAGCUCAGUGGUAGAGCGCGUCCUUGCCAAGGAUGAGGUCGCGGGUUCAAGUCCCGUUUCCCGCU